rnacentral:lncRNA from 1 species
UGUCACUUAUGCCUAUUUAUUUAUUUAACUGUUAACACUCAACUUCAGGUUAAGGUCUAUAGAACACAUGGUUCAAGGCGAUACACAUUUUGCCUCCUCAGUUGAGUCCUAGAGUUGCAGGUUAGAAUCAGGGGUCAAAUGUCACCAAGACCCGAGGCCAGCUUUUUCUGCAGAGGAUGCCUUGCCUUGAAUUAGGGGACAGUGAAGGAGCUCUUGUUGAAACCCUGGAUUGACAAAACUACCGCGUCCGAGUGUAUGUUCACUGCUCUGAGCCACGUGCCACAGUCCACAGCAACUGUUGGCAGCAUCUCAGUGACCGUGGACAUCUCACCGCUCCCUUUCCUCAAGGGCGCCCUCUCCCCCUUAAUGACGUUAGCCUCCUGACCUUCAGCACCUAUUCUGCCCGUGUCUUUCUGGUGCAGAAGGCUCCCUUAUGGCAGAUGGUGGCCUGUUAUUUAUGACACGGUGAUGAGAGGUGCGUGGGGCAGGAAUAAGGCACCCUUCUCAAGGACCCGACUCAGCUCUGCUUGUGGCCAGAACACCAUUGCUGUCAGGUAGUGCUGUCCUGGGCAGCUUAGCGAUUCUCUUCUGUCUUCGGGUUUUCUUUCUUCCUCGCUCUGCCCUUCUCUGUGAUUUUAGGACAUCCUUUUGUUCGGGUGCUCAGUACUUUUUCCAUUAUGCUGCUGUGAACUUGAG